AACGCACCUUGUGCUCCUUAGUAUUCUGAGGAGCAUGCCUGUUUGAGUGUCAUUAAUAAUAUCAACCUCUUCAGCUUUUGCAUGUUGAGUGUUGGAUGUGGGGGGAGGUUUAUCCUUUUUGCUGGACUCUUUCUGAGGUCAGUUCCCCUAAAAUGCAUUAGCGAAACAAUUUGUUUUAUUGUUCAUUGGUGUGAUAACCAUCUACACUAUUGACGUGAAGCAGGUUUAGCUUCUAACAGUCCAUUAACUUGGACAAACUUUAUUAAAAAAUGUGACCUCAAAUCAGGUAGGAUUACCCGCUGAACUUAA
rnacentral:rRNA from 1 species